rnacentral:lncRNA from 1 species
UUAGGCGGGAGCCAUAAGCUUGACGCACCUAAAUCUAACGAUAAGACAAAAAUAAAUCGCAGAAAAAAAAAGAAAAAGCGAGAAGAAAAUUUAAGAUGGUGUAACUUUGGUAGUGUACCGUUAGGUGUUGGCAGGGGCUUUGGGAAAUGCGGGGAUAUCGUAUCAAAGAUAUUCACAAACUUACCAUUUCCGAUGUUAAGCUAGCCAAAGCUUCUUCGACAGUUGCGACUAGCCGGCCAUCUUCUUUUCCCGUAAGUCCGCUUCUGAUCGGAGUUGUUGGACAUCCUUCGGAUAAUUAGUGCACGUGAGACGCAAAGUCGGAGUAGAACCUUCGACGCUACCCGUAGGCGGUGUCCAUGUCAAAGCUCCUCCACCUCGACUACUUCCUCCACUUUCAACGCUC